GACGAACGCUGGCGGCGUGCCUAAUACAUGCAAGUCGAACGAGUGGCGGACGGGUGCGUAACACGUGGGUAACCUGCCCUGCACUUCGGGAUAAGCCUGGGAAACUGGGUCUAAUACCGGAUAGUGUGGGAUGGGCCCUCGGCCUAUCAGCUUGUUGGUGGGGUAAUGGCUACCAAGGCGCGACGGGUAGCCGGCAUGAGAGUGUGAAGAGCAACAUUGGGACGGAGCCACGGCCCAGGAUCCUACGGGAGGAAGCAUUGGGGAAUAUUGUACAAUGGGCGAAAUCCUGAUCCAGCCAUGCCGCGUGUGUGAAGAAGGUCUUCGGAUUGUAAAGCACUUUAAGUUGGUAGGCGUUACCAACAGAAUAAGCACCGGCUAACUUCGUGCCAGCCGCCGCGGUAAUUC
rnacentral:rRNA from 1 species